rnacentral:rRNA from 1 species
CCUACGGGAGGUAGCAGUCGAGAAUCUUUCACAAUGGGCGAAAGCCUGAUGGUGCAACGCCGCGUGCAGGAUUAAGGCCUUCGGGUUGGAAACUGCUUUUAUUAUCGAGACAUAUUAUGGUAACUUAUGCAUAAGAAUCGGAUCACUACGUGCCAGCAGCCGCGGUCAUACGUAGGCUCCGAUCAUUAUCCGGAGUUACAGGGUGUAAAGAGUUGCGUAGGUGGCAUAAUAAGUAGCUAGGGAAAUCUGGUGGCUCAACCAUUCAGACUAUUAGCUCAACUGUUAAGCUCGAGACCGUUAGGGGUAACUGGAAUUUCUAGUGUAGGAGUGAAAUCCGUAGAUAUUAGAAGGAACACCAAUAGCGUAGGCAGGUUACUGGGACGGUUCUGACACUAAGGCACGAAGGCGUAGGGAGCGAAAGGGAUUAGAUACCCCAGUAGUC